GACGAACGCUGGCGGCGUGCUUAACACAUGCAAGUCGAACGGAAAGGCCCCAGCUUGCUGGGGUACUCGAGUGGCGAACGGGUGAGUAACACGUGGGUGAUCUGCCCUGCACUCUGGGAUAAGCCUGGGAAACUGGGUCUAAUACCGGAUAGGACCGUGCUUUAGUGUGUGCGGUGGAAAGUUUUUCGGUGCAGGAUGAGCCCGCGGCCUAUCAGCUUGUUGGUGGGGUAAUGGCCUACCAAGGCGGCGACGGGUAGCCGGCCUGAGAGGGGGUACGGCCACAUUGGGACUGAGACACGGCCCAGACUCCUACGGGAGGCAGCAGUGGGGAAUAUUGCACAAUGGGCGCAAGCCUGAUGCAGCGACGCCGCGUGGGGGAUGACGGCCUUCGGGUUGUAAACCCCUUUCGGCAGGGACGAAGCUUUUGUGACGGUACCUGCAUAAGAAGCACCGGCUAACUACGUG
rnacentral:rRNA from 1 species